UACAGAGGAUGCAAGCGUUAUCCGGAAUGAUUGGGCGUAAAGCGUCUGUAGGUGGCUUUUUAAGUCCGCCGUCAAAUCCCAGGGCUCAACUCUGGACAGGCGGUGGAAACUACCAAGCUGGAGUACGGUAGGGGCAGAGGGAAUUUCCGGUGGAGCGGUGAAAUGCGUAGAGAUCGGAAAGAACACCAACGGCGAAAGCGGCAUACUGGUCCACUUCUGACGCUGAGGCGCGAAAGCCAGGGGAGCAAACGGG
rnacentral:rRNA from 1 species